rnacentral:piRNA from 1 species
GACAUGAUUAAUGAAGUAGAUGCAGAUG